UACGUAGGGUGCAAGCGUUAAUCGGAAUUACUGGGCGUAAAGCGUGCGCAGGCGGUUAUGUAAGACAGUUGUGAAAUCCCCGGGCUCAACCUGGGAACUGCAUCUGUGACUGCAUAGCUAGAGUACGGUAGAGGGGGAUGGAAUUCCGCGUGUAGCAGUGAAAUGCGUAGAGAUGUGGAGGAACACCGAUGGCGAAGGCAGCCCCCUGGGCCGACACUGACGCUCAUGCACGAAAGCGUGGGGAGCAAACAGG
rnacentral:rRNA from 1 species